UACGUAGGGUGCAAGCGUUAAUCGGAAUUACUGGGCGUAAAGCGUGCGCAGGCGGUUUUGUAAGUCUGACGUGAAAUCCCCGGGCUCAACCUGGGAAUUGCGUUGGAGACUGCAAGGCUAGAAUCUGGCAGAGGGGGGUAGAAUUCCACGUGUAGCAGUGAAAUGCGUAGAGAUGUGGAGGAACACCGAUGGCGAAGGCGGCCCCCCUGGGUCAAGAUUGACGCUCAUGCACGAAAGCGUGGGGAGCAAACAGG
rnacentral:rRNA from 1 species